AGUGAACGCUGGCGGCGUGCCUAAUACAUGCAAGUCGAACGGAGAGGCGCACGGGUGAGUAAUGUAUAGCUAAUAUGCCCUACACUAGAGGACAACAGUUGGAAAAGACUGCUAAUACUCUAUAGUGUAGGAUGAGGCUAUAUUGUAUCAGCUAGUCGGUGAGGUAAUGGCUCACCAAGGCUAUGACCCAUAACUGGUCUGCUAGGAUGAUCAGUCACACUGUAACUGAGACACGGUACAGACUCCUUCGGGAGUCAGCAGUAGGGACUAUUGCUCAAUGGGGGAAACCCGUAAGCAGCAACGCCGUGUGGAGUAUGACACUUUUCGGAGCUUACACUCCUUUUGUUAGGGAAGCGGUACCUAACGAAUAAGCACCGGCUAACUCCGUGCCAGCAGCCGCGGUAAUAC
rnacentral:rRNA from 1 species